UGAGUAACCUGCCCUUAACUCUGGGAUAAGCCUGGGAAACUGGGUCUAAUACCGGAUAUGACUCCUCAUCGCAUGGGUGGGGGGUGGAAAGUCUUUUUUGUGGUUUUUGGAUGGACUCGCGGCCUAUCAGCUUGUUGGUGAGGUAAUGGCUCACCAAGGCGACGACGGGUAGCCGGCCUGAGAGGGUGACCCGGCCACACGUGGGACUGAGACACGGCCCAGACCUCCUACGAGGAGCAG
rnacentral:rRNA from 1 species